rnacentral:ncRNA from 1 species
AAAGGCCGUGACAGUCAUGUGGGCUUAGUAGGCAUGCUGCGUGGGCGCUUGACGUCGAAAUUCAAAUCAGAAGUGGGGCAUUUCCCCUCUUUUUGGACCCAAGGCUAGCUUCGUGGGCUGAUCUGGGCGGAAGACAUUGUUAGGUGGGGACUUUGCCUGGGGCGUCACAUCUGUUAAAAGAUAACGCUGGUUCCUAAGAUGAGCUCCGUGAGAACAGAAAUCUCUUGUGGAACAGAAGGGUAAAAGCUCAUUUGAUUUUGAUUUCCAGUACGAAUACGAACUGUGAAAGAGUGGCCUAACGAUUCGAUGACGGCUCUUCCUACCAUUGUGAAGCAGAAUUCAACAAAUGUUGGAUUGUUCACCCACCAAUAGGGAACGUGAGCGGGGUUUAGACCGUCGUGAUACAGGUUAGUU